CCUACGGGGGGCAGCAGUGGGGAAUAUUGCGCAAUGGGCGAAAGCCUGACGCAGCGACGCCGCGUGAGGGAUGAAGGUCUUCGGAUCGUAAACCUCUGUCAGCAGGGAAGAACGGUCACUGUGCUAAUCAGCAGUGAAUUGACGGUACCUGCAAAGGAAGCACCGGCUAACUCCGUGCCAGCAGCCGCGGUAAUACGGAGGGGGCGAGCGUUGAUCGGAAUUACUGGGCGUAAAGCGCUCGUAGGCGGUAUGUCAAGUCAAGGGUGAAAGCUCCGGGCUCAACGUGGGAACUGCCUUUGAUACUGGCAAACUUGAGUGCGGGAGAGGAUAGUGGAAUUCCAGGUGUAGGAGUGAAAUCCGUAGAUAUCUGGAGGAACAUCAGUGGCGAAGGCGACUAUCUGGCACAUAACUGACGCUGAGGAGCGAAAGCGUGGGUAGCAAACAGGAUUAGAUACCCGAGUAGUC
rnacentral:rRNA from 1 species